rnacentral:rRNA from 1 species
CCUACGGGCGGCAGCAGUGAGGAAUAUUGGUCAAUGGACGAGAGUCUGAACCAGCCAAGUAGCGUGAAGGAUGACUGCCCUAUGGGUUGUAAACUUCUUUUAUAUGGGAAUAAAACGUUCCACGUGUGGGAUUUUGUAUGUACCAUAUGAAUAAGGAUCGGCUAACUCCGUGCCAGCAGCCGCGGUAAUACGGAGGAUCCGAGCGUUAUCCGGAUUUAUUGGGUUUAAAGGGAGCGUAGGUGGAUUGUUAAGUCAGUUGUGAAAGUUUGCGGCUCAACCAUAAAAUUGCAGUUGAAACUGGCAGUCUUGAGUACAGUAGAGGUGGGCGGAAUUCGUGGUGUAGCGGUGAAAUGCUUAGAUAUCACGAAGAACUCCGAUUGCGAAGGCAGUUCACUGGACUGCAACUGACACUGAGGCUCGAAAGUGUGGGUAUCAAACAGGAUUAGAUACCCCAGUAGUC